AAGCAGGACAAUGUAACUUCUCCAUUGACGUUUUGUCGACCCCAAAUUUUGACCUUUAAGUACUUUUUCGGGCAUUUUCGUGAUUUGGGCUAUAUUACGGACCCAAAAUUACUUGUUCAAGCAUUGUUUUCGAAUUUUUUCAUGCAUCAAAGCUCGUUAAGACUAGAUGGGGUAUCCCUACAUAGCGGGUGGGACCCACGGCGAAUGGUUCAUCAUGUCUUCAAAAAAGAAUAUAUACGAUUGCAUUGCAUAUACUAACGGAUGCGAUCAUACCAGCACUAAUGCACCGGAUCCCAUCAGAACUCCGCAGUCAAGCGUGCUUGGGCGAGAGUAGUACUAGGAUGGGUGACCUCCCGGGAAGUCCUCGUGUUGCAUCCCUCUUUUAUGUUUAACCUUUUUUUUUUUGGUUAAAACUUGAUGACUCCAUAACUUUUAGACCGUGAGGCCAAACUUGGCAUGUGAUACCUUUUCGGAAAGCCCAAAGACAGCCCUCCGACGAAAGAAGCAGGACAAUGGAACUUUUCCAUUGACUUUUUGUCGACCCCAAAUUUUGACCUUUAAGUACUUUUUCGGGCAUUUUCGUGAUUUGGGCUAUAUUACGGACCCAAAAUUACUUGUUCAAGCAUUGUUUUCGAAUUUUUUCAUGCAUCAAAGCUCGUUAAGACUAGAUGGGGGAUCCCUACAUAGCGGGUGGGACCCACGGCGAAUGGUUCAUCAAGUCUUCAAAAAAGAAUAUAUACGAUUGCAUUGCAUAUACUAACGGAUGCGAUCAUACCAGCACUAAUGCACCGGAUCCCAUCAGAACUCCGCUUUUAAGCGUGCUUGGGCGAGAGUAGUACUAGGAUGGGUGACCUCCCGGGAAGUCCUCGUGUUGCAUCCCUCUUUUAUGUUUAACCUUUUUUUUUUUGGUUAAAAUUUUAUGACUCCAUAACUUUUAGACCGUGAGGCCAAACUUGGCAUGUGAUACCUUUUCGGAAAGCCCAAAGACAGCCCUCCGACGAAAGAAGCAGGACAAUGGAACUUCUCCAUUGACGUUUUGUCGACCCCAAAUUUUGACCUUUAAGUACUUUUUCGGGCAUUUUCGUGAUUUGGGCUAUAUUACGGACCCAAAAUUACUUGUUCAAGCAUUGUUUUCGAAUUUUUUCAUGCAUCAAAGCUCGUUAAGACUAGAUGGGGUAUCCCUACAUAGCGGGUGGGACCCACGGCGAAUGGUUCAUCAAGUCUUCAAAAAAGAAUAUAUACGAUUGCAUUGCAUAUACUAACGGAUGCGAUCAUACCAGCACUAAUGCACCGGAUCCCAUCAGAACUCCGCAGUUAAGCGUGCUUGGGCGAGAGUAGUACUAGGAUGGGUGACCUCCCGGGAAGUCCUCGUGUUGCAUCCCUCUUUUAUGUUUAACCUUUUUUUUUUUGGUUAAAACUUUAUGACUCCAUAACUUUUAGACCGUGAGGCCAAACUUGGCAUGUGAUACCUUUUCGGAAAGCCCAAAGACAGCCCUCCGACGAAAGAAGCAGGACAAUGGAAGAUCUCCAUUGACGUUUUGUCGACCCCAAAUUUUGACCUUUAAGUACUUUUUCGGGCAUUUUCGUGAUUUGGGCUAUAUUACGGACCCAAAAUUACUUGUUCAAGCAUUGUUUUCGAAUUUUUUCAUGCAUCAAAGCUCGUUAAGACUAGAUGGGGGAUCCCUACAUAGCGGGUGGGACCCACGGCGAAUGGUUCAUCAAGUCUUCAAAAAAGAAUAUAUACGAUUGCAUUGCAUAUACUAACGGAUGCGAUCAUACCAGCACUAAUGCACCGGAUCCCAUCAGAACUCCGCAGUUAAGCGUGCUUGGGCGAGAGUAGUACUAGGAUGGGUGACCUCCCGGGAAGUCCUCGUGUUGCAUCCCUCUUUUAUGUUUAACCUUUUUUUUUUUGGUUAAAACUUUAUGACUCCAUAACUUUUAGACCGUGAGGCCAAACUUGGCAUGUGAUACCUUUUCGGAAAGCCCAAAGACAGCCCUCCGACGAAAGAAGCAGGACAAUGGAACUUCUCCAUUGACGUUUUGUCGACCCCAAAUUUUGACCUUUAAGUACUUUUUCGGGCAUUUUCGUGAUUUGGGCUAUAUUACGGACCCAAAAUUACUUGUUCAAGCAUUGUUUUCGAAUUUUUUCAUGCAUCAAAGCUCGUUAAGACUAGAUGGGGGAUCCCUACAUAGCGGGGUGGGACCCACGGCGAAUGGUUCAUCAUGUCUUCAAAAAAGAAUAUAUACGAUUGCAUUGCAUAUACUAACGGG
rnacentral:sRNA from 1 species